rnacentral:rRNA from 1 species
UACAAGGGGGGCGAGCGUUGUUCGGAAUUAUUGGGCGUAAAGGGUGCGUAGGCGGUUUGAUAAGUCUGAUGUGAAAUCUAUGGGCUCAACCCAUAGCCUGCAUUAGAAACUGUCGGGCUUGAGUAUGGGAGAGGUGAGUGGAAUUUCCGGUGUAGCGGUGAAAUGCGUAGAUAUCGGAAGGAACACCUGUGGCGAAAGCGGCUCACUGGACCAUUACUGACGCUGAUGCACGAAAGCUAGGGGAGCAAACAGG